AAUACCGAGUCAUGAGGGAGAUCCUGCUGCUCCAGGUGACUGCAAAGAAUUACAACCUAGAGCCCGAGGAGUGAUUUGGGGCCUGGUUCCAGGACAUGGAGCUGCUCAACGAGAGUGAUAGCUACAGCCUGUCCUGCCAGCUGGAGCCCCAGACCUAGUUGGCCAGCAGAAUACUCAAGGCCAAGAAGAACCAGCCAUCAUUAAGGUCAGGGCCCCCAGGCCCCAACACCAAGCCCCGUACCAGUGGCC